rnacentral:tRNA from 1 species
GGGCGAUUAGCUCAGCUGGGAGAGCGUCUGCUUUACACGCAGAAUGUCGGCGGUUCGAGCCCGUCAUCGCCCACCA